rnacentral:lncRNA from 1 species
CUUUUGUUCCAUGUCGUUUGGAGAGUGAGUACUAACGGAGACUGGGGGUAGGAGCUGAAGCCCCCAGAGCCACCCCUUAACACUGACCCUGCUUGGCUUGGGUUUAGUUGCACCACAAGGACUGAGUGAGUGAGAACACAGCCCCCCUGGCUGCAGUGAAUGAGGAAUGUUGCAACAACAUCUGGAGCCGCCCCCAGCGGAAGACUGCAGAGAGGCGGUGGCAGCGAUGACAGCUCAGAACGCAGCCCCCUCGCCGUGUGGACAUCCACGCAUCCACCAGCGCACAGACUAUGUGCAUGUGGCCAUGUCUACGUGUCCACAUGCGCACAUGAGCAGACAUCUCCGGCUCCAUCCAGACUCAGCCAUGCAGCCAGGCGGGAAGCAGGCAGCCAGAGAGAACAGAGCUCCCCAGACCAGAAGUGGGCGUCCGCCCAAUGGUGCAGCGUGGUCACAGAGGCCAGAAGGCACAGGGGCAAGUCUGUGUCCCUGAGGCCCCUCGCCCCUCACCUGGCAGCAGGCGGAGGAUCUUCAGAACCAAUGGACAAUGGGGAAACCUCGCAUUUUAUUCCCUCUGUGCCCCUGCAUCUUCUGCGGGUCUCCUUGAGGGCUCCUCGCCUGGACCCUCUCCCUGCACACAGGUGUGUGUCACUGAUCAGCUUUAUCCUUUCUCUCACCCAUCCUUUCCCAGGCAGAGUGUCCGCAUCUCUCUCUCUCACACACACUCACAGUGCACAGGGCUUGGUCUCCAUCCUACUCACACUCCUUGUGAAACACUCUGGCACACAUUUCCCUGGGUCUCCAUGA